UCAUCCUCCCUCUCUCCAUCUCCCCCGGCCAGCGAGGCAGCUGAGGGUGCUGCGGCCUCUGGAGGACGUGACCAUCAGUGAGGGGGGCAGUGCCACCUUCCAGCUGGAGCUGUCCCAGGAAGGUGUGACCGGGGAGUGGGCCCGGGGUGGAGUACGGCUGUAUCCAGGGCCCAAGUGUCACAUCCAUUCGGAGGGCCACUGUCACCGACUGGUACUCAACGGCCUGGGCCUGGUCGACUCAGGCUGCGUCUCCUUCACGGCGGAUUCCCUGCGCUGCGCAGCCAGACUCGUUGUGAGAGGUGUGGUCUCCAGGACCACAGCCUGCCUGCUGACCUGUGUGGCCCUACUUACCCCAGGCAUGAAUACUGACCCCAACUCGUGUGACCCCCACUGACCAUGCCUGUCUCAGUGUGGCCCUCAUUGACAUCCCUGCCAGAGUGUGAUCCCCCUGACUCAUAGGCCCUGUGUGGCCCCUGACUGCCCAGGGCUCAGCCAACCACUGACUCUGCUACCGUGA
rnacentral:sRNA from 1 species